rnacentral:rRNA from 1 species
GGGUUGUGAGGUUAAGCGACUAAGCGUACACGGUGGAUGCCCUGGCAGUCAGAGGCGAUGAAGGACGUGCUAAUCUGCGAAAAGCGACGGCGAGGUGAUAUGAACCUUUGACCCGUCGAUGUCCGAAUGGGGAAACCCAGUGUGUUUCGACACACUAUCGUUAACUGAAUACAUAGGUUAACGAGGCGAACCGGGGGAACUGAAACAUCUAAGUACCCCGAGGAAAAGAAAUCAACCGAGAUUCCCCCAGUAGCGGCGAGCGAACGGGGAGCAGCCCGGAGUCUGAAUCAGCUUGUGUGUUAGUGGAAGCGUCUGGAAAGUCGCACGGUACAGGGUGACAGUCCCGUACACGAAAAUGCACAGGUUGUGAACUCGAAGAGUAGGGCGGGACACGUGGUAUCCUGUCUGAAUAUGGGGGGACCAUCCUCCAAGGCUAAAUACUCCUGACUGACCGAUAGUGAACCAGUACCGUGAGGGAAAGGCGAAAAGAACCCCGGCGAGGGGAGUGAAAAAGAACCUGAAACCGUGUACGUACAAGCAGUGGGAGCACCUUCGUGGUGUGACUGCGUACCUUUUGUAUAAUGGGUCAGCGACUUAUAUUCUGUAGCAAGGUUAACCGUAUAGGGGAGCCGCAGGGAAACCGAGUCUUAACUGGGCGUUAAGUUGCAGGGUAUAGACCCGAAACCCGGUGAUCUAGCCAUGGGCAGGUUGAAGGUUGGGUAACACUAACUGGAGGACCGAACCGACUAAUGUUGAAAAAUUAGCGGAUGACCUGUGGCUGGGGGUGAAAGGCCAAUCAAACCGGGAGAUAGCUGGUUCUCCCCGAAAGCUAUUUAGGUAGCGCCUCGUGAACUCAUCUUCGGGGGUAGAGCACUGUUUCGGCUAGGGGGCCAUCCCGGCUUACCAACCCGAUGCAAACUACGAAUACCGAAGAAUGUUAUCACGGGAGACACACGGCGGGUGCUAACGUCCGUCGUGAAGAGGGAAACAACCCAGACCGCCAGCUAAGGUCCCAAAGUCAUGGUUAAGUGGGAAACGAUGUGGGAAGGCACAGACAGCCAGGAUGUUGGCUUAGAAGCAGCCAUCAUUUAAAGAAAGCGUAAUAGCUCACUGGUCGAGUCGGCCUGCGCGGAAGAUGUAACGGGGCUAAACCAUGCACCGAAGCUGCGGCAGCGACACUAUGUGUUGUUGGGUAGGGGAGCGUUCUGUAAGCCGUUGAAGGUGUGCUGUGAGGCAUGCUGGAGGUAUCAGAAGUGCGAAUGCUGACAUAAGUAACGAUAAAGCGGGUGAAAAGCCCGCUCGCCGGAAGACCAAGGGUUCCUGUCCAACGUUAAUCGGGGCAGGGUGAGUCGACCCCUAAGGCGAGGCCGAAAGGCGUAGUCGAUGGGAAACAGGUUAAUAUUCCUGUACUUGGUGUUACUGCGAAGGGGGGACGGAGAAGGCUAUGUCAGCCGGGCGACGGUUGUCCCGGUUUAAGCGUGUAGGUGUGUGUUCCAGGCAAAUCCGGUUCACUUUAACACUGAGGCGUGAUGACGAGGCACUACGGUGCUGAAGUGAUAAAUGCCCUGCUUCCAGGAAAAGCCUCUAAGCAUCAGGUAACACGAAAUCGUACCCCAAACCGACACAGGUGGUCAGGUAGAGAAUACCAAGGCGCUUGAGAGAACUCGGGUGAAGGAACUAGGCAAAAUGGUGCCGUAACUUCGGGAGAAGGCACGCUGAUAUGUAGGUGAAGUCCCUGCGGACGGAGCUGAAAUCAGUCGAAGAUACCAGCUGGCUGCAACUGUUUAUUAAAAACACAGCACUGUGCAAACACGAAAGUGGACGUAUACGGUGUGACGCCUGCCCGGUGCCGGAAGGUUAAUUGAUGGGGUUAGCGGCAACGCGAAGCUCUUGAUCGAAGCCCCGGUAAACGGCGGCCGUAACUAUAACGGUCCUAAGGUAGCGAAAUUCCUUGUCGGGUAAGUUCCGACCUGCACGAAUGGCGUAAUGAUGGCCAGGCUGUCUCCACCCGAGACUCAGUGAAAUUGAACUCGCUGUGAAGAUGCAGUGUACCCGCGGCAAGACGGAAAGACCCCGUGAACCUUUACUAUAGCUUGACACUGAACACUGGUCCUUGAUGUGUAGGAUAGGUGGGAGGCUUUGAAGCGUGGACGCCAGUCUGCGUGGAGCCGUCCUUGAAAUACCACCCUUUAAUGGCUGGUGUUCUAACGUAGACCCGUGAUCCGGGUUGCGGACAGUGUCUGGUGGGUAGUUUGACUGGGGCGGUCUCCUCCCAAAGAGUAACGGAGGAGCACGAAGGUUAGCUAAUCCUGGUCGGACAUCAGGAGGUUAGUGCAAUGGCAUAAGCUAGCUUGACUGCGAGAGUGACGGCUCGAGCAGGUGCGAAAGCAGGUCAUAGUGAUCCGGUGGUUCUGAAUGGAAGGGCCAUCGCUCAACGGAUAAAAGGUACUCCGGGGAUAACAGGCUGAUACCGCCCAAGAGUUCAUAUCGACGGCGGUGUUUGGCACCUCGAUGUCGGCUCAUCACAUCCUGGGGCUGAAGUAGGUCCCAAGGGUAUGGCUGUUCGCCAUUUAAAGUGGUACGCGAGCUGGGUUUAGAACGUCGUGAGACAGUUCGGUCCCUAUCUGCCGUGGGCGCUGGAGAAUUGAGGGGGGCUGCUCCUAGUACGAGAGGACCGGAGUGGACGCAUCACUGGUGUUCGGGUUGUCAUGCCAAUGGCACUGCCCGGUAGCUAAAUGCGGAAGAGAUAAGUGCUGAAAGCAUCUAAGCACGAAACUUGCCCCGAGAUGAGUUCUCCCUGAGACUAUAAGUCUCCUGAAGGAACGUUGAAGACGACGACGUUGAUAGGCCGGGUGUGUAAGCGCAGCGAUGCGUUGAGCUAACCGGUACUAAUGAACCGUGAGGCUUAACCUUACAACGCCGAAGCUGUU